UGUUUGACUGUUUUUAAAACAGCCAAUUUUUUAAGUCUGAAUUUUUAAAAUAGGAUGAAAACUGAUUUUAAUAGUUGAUUUUUAAAAUUGAUUAUAAAUAACCAAUUUUAAAAGUCUACCUUUUAAAAUCAGUGCAAUAAUCAAUUUUAAAACCAAAGAUCACAACCUAAAGCCCCCAAAAUCUAAUGCUUUACACACCAUCUACAAGACUGAAAGCACUUCACCAAGCAUGACUCUCUAGAGCUAGUUUUAUCGGGUCCCAUCCACCACAAGAAUUCAAAGUUACAACUAGGAGAGGUUGCAUCUAAAAUCAAAGGCCUCAAGGAAAUCUAAAAUCGAAAACCUCAAGGACAUGUUUGCCAUGACACUAGUGCAAAAGUAAGAAAUUAUGUCUGCAUUUUCUUGUCGGACGUAAACAUAUCCAACGUAAAAAAGACGCUAUGACAAUUUUAAAAAUAAAAGCAAACUUUUUUACGUCGGCCUAAAUAGGGACCGACGUAAAUUUAAAAAUCUACAUCGGAUGUAGCUUGUGUCUGACAUAGAUUUUUAAAUUUACGUCGGACCCUACGUGGUCCGACGUAAAAAAGUUUCUUAUUUCCCCCCGCCACUUCGUCUUCUUCGCGCGCGAUAAUAUUUGUACACAACGUUACAGAGAACGGUGCUAGGUUCUUAGAUUAUAUAUUUUACAGAGAACGUUACAAAGUUUUUUAUUUCUCCUUUGGGCGAACGACUUCUGGACAUCAGUGGAUGGCUCCUGGGUUUUCUGACAGAUUGCAUUAGGCGCGUGUUUGAGGUACAUGGACAAAUUGAGCGUGGAGCAAGCACAAGCACAAGUAUAUGGAUUUAUUGAGCCUCAAUCCAUCUAAAAAUCAGGGAACACGAAGGUCUAGAUACAACAAUAUAUGCAAACAUGGAUAAGUGACUCCGGAAGACAUAUAUACAUGGCUUCAUACAUAGAAGGGUCCCAUUGGCAGUUAAUUGUAAUCAUUCCUAAGGAUUACACCGUGAUGUGGUUUUGUUCACUACAUCGAAGACCAAGCCACGAAAUGAAAAGCCAAUUAUAAGGAAUCGUGUCUGGAACUAAUAUUUUAAGUGGAAGAGCCAGAUCAAAGACAUUGAACUUCAUAUACCCUAAGUGUAAUAAGCAACAAGACUCAUUUGAAUGUGGC